rnacentral:tRNA from 1 species
UGGCUCAGACGGUAAAGCAUCUGCCUGCAAUGCAGGAGACCCGGGUUCGAUCCCUGG